GGGUUGUGAGGUUAAGCGACUAAGCGUACACGGUGGAUGCCCUGGCAGUCAGAGGCGAUGAAGGACGUGCUAAUCUGCGAAAAGCGUCGGUAAGGUGAUAUGAACCGUUACAGCCGGCGAUGUCCGAAUGGGGAAACCCAGUGCAAUUCGUUGCACUAUCGUUAACUGAAUACAUAGGUUAACGAGGCGAACCGGGGGAACUGAAACAUCUAAGUACCCCGAGGAAAAGAAAUCAACCGAGAUUCCCCCAGUAGCGGCGAGCGAACGGGGAGCAGCCCAGAGUCUGAAUCAGCUUGUGUGUUAGUGGAACGGUCUGGAAAGUCCGACGGUACAGGGUGAUAGUCCCGUACACCAAAAUGCACAGGUUGUGAACUCGAAGAGUAGGGCGGGACACGUGGUAUCCUGUCUGAAUAUGGGGGGACCAUCCUCCAAGGCUAAAUACUCCUGACUGACCGAUAGUGAACCAGUACCGUGAGGGAAAGGCGAAAAGAACCCCGGCGAGGGGAGUGAAAAAGAACCUGAAACCGUGUACGUACAAGCAGUGGGAGCACCUUCGGGUGUGACUGCGUACCUUUUGUAUAAUGGGUCAGCGACUUAUAUUCUGUAGCAAGGUUAACCGUAUAGGGGAGCCGCAGGGAAACCGAGUCUUAACUGGGCGUUAAGUUGCAGGGUAUAGACCCGAAACCCGGUGAUCUAGCCAUGGGCAGGUUGAAGGUUGGGUAACACUAACUGGAGGACCGAACCGACUAAUGUUGAAAAAUUAGCGGAUGACUUGUGGCUGGGGGUGAAAGGCCAAUCAAACCGGGAGAUAGCUGGUUCUCCCCGAAAGCUAUUUAGGUAGCGCCUCGUGAAUUCAUCUUCGGGGGUAGAGCACUGUUUCGGCUAGGGGGUCAUCCCGACUUACCAACCCGAUGCAAACUACGAAUACCGAAGAAUGUUAUCACGGGAGACACACGGCGGGUGCUAACGUCCGUCGUGAAGAGGGAAACAACCCAGACCGCCAGCUAAGGUCCCAAAGUCACAGUUAAGUGGGAAACGAUGUGGGAAGGCACAGACAGCCAGGAUGUUGGCUUAGAAGCAGCCAUCAUUUAAAGAAAGCGUAAUAGCUCACUGGUCGAGUCGGCCUGCGCGGAAGAUGUAACGGGGCUAAACUGUGCACCGAAGCUGCGGCAGCGACACUUAGGUGUUGUUGGGUAGGGGAGCGUUCUGUAAGCCUGCGAAGGUGGCCUGUGAGGGUUGCUGGAGGUAUCAGAAGUGCGAAUGCUGACAUAAGUAACGAUAAUGCGGGUGAAAAGCCCGCACGCCGGAAGACCAAGGGUUCCUGUCCAACGUUAAUCGGGGCAGGGUGAGUCGACCCCUAAGGCGAGGCCGAAAGGCGUAGUCGAUGGGAAACAGGUUAAUAUUCCUGUACUUGGUGUUACUGCGAAGGGGGGACGGAGAAGGCUAUGUUAGCCGGGCGACGGUUGUCCCGGUUUAAGCAUGUAGGCGGAGGUUCCAGGUAAAUCCGGUACCUUUUAACGCUGAGGUGUGAUGACGAGGCACUACGGUGCUGAAGUAACAAAUGCCCUGCUUCCAGGAAAAGCCUCUAAGCAUCAGGUAACAUUGAAUCGUACCCCAAACCGACACAGGUGGUCAGGUAGAGAAUACCAAGGCGCUUGAGAGAACUCGGGUGAAGGAACUAGGCAAAAUGGUGCCGUAACUUCGGGAGAAGGCACGCUGAUAUGUAGGUGAAGCCCCUGCGGGUGGAGCUGAAAUCAGUCGAAGAUACCAGCUGGCUGCAACUGUUUAUUAAAAACACAGCACUGUGCAAACACGAAAGUGGACGUAUACGGUGUGACGCCUGCCCGGUGCCGGAAGGUUAAUUGAUGGGGUUAUCCGUAAGGAGAAGCUCUUGAUCGAAGCCCCGGUAAACGGCGGCCGUAACUAUAACGGUCCUAAGGUAGCGAAAUUCCUUGUCGGGUAAGUUCCGACCUGCACGAAUGGCGUAAUGAUGGCCAGGCUGUCUCCACCCGAGACUCAGUGAAAUUGAACUCGCUGUGAAGAUGCAGUGUACCCGCGGCAAGACGGAAAGACCCCGUGAACCUUUACUAUAGCUUGACACUGAACAUUGAGCCUUGAUGUGUAGGAUAGGUGGGAGGCUUUGAAGCGUGGACGCCAGUCUGCGUGGAGCCAACCUUGAAAUACCACCCUUUAAUGUUUGAUGUUCUAACGUUGGCCCCUGACCGGGGUUGCGGACAGUGUCUGGUGGGUAGUUUGACUGGGGCGGUCUCCUCCCAAAGAGUAACGGAGGAGCACGAAGGUUAGCUAAUCCUGGUCGGACAUCAGGAGGUUAGUGCAAUGGCAUAAGCUAGCUUGACUGCGAGCGUGACGGCGCGAGCAGGUGCGAAAGCAGGUCAUAGUGAUCCGGUGGUUCUGAAUGGAAGGGCCAUCGCUCAACGGAUAAAAGGUACUCCGGGGAUAACAGGCUGAUACCGCCCAAGAGUUCAUAUCGACGGCGGUGUUUGGCACCUCGAUGUCGGCUCAUCACAUCCUGGGGCUGAAGUAGGUCCCAAGGGUAUGGCUGUUCGCCAUUUAAAGUGGUACGCGAGCUGGGUUUAGAACGUCGUGAGACAGUUCGGUCCCUAUCUGCCGUGGGCGCUGGAGAAUUGAGGGGGGCUGCUCCUAGUACGAGAGGACCGGAGUGGACGCAUCACUGGUGUUCGGGUUGUCAUGCCAAUGGCAUUGCCCGGUAGCUAAAUGCGGAAGAGAUAAGUGCUGAAAGCAUCUAAGCACGAAACUUGCCCCGAGAUGAGUUCUCCCUGAGACUUUAAGUCUCCUGAAGGAACGUUAAAGACGAUGACGUUGAUAGGUCGGGUGUGUAAGCGUAGCGAUACGUUGAGCUAACCGAUACUAAUGAACCGUGAGGCUUAACCUUACAACGCCGAAGGUGUUU
rnacentral:rRNA from 1 species